rnacentral:lncRNA from 1 species
AUGUUGCCAUUUGAUGCAUCUUUAUCCAAACAGUUCGAUCAGCAGGAAAAAAAAUCAUGGAUGGUAGCAGAACUGACACAAAACUUAAUAAAUGAAGAACAGCCUUUCUUCUGCCUCCUUGUACUGAAUGAAGACCAACAGUCAAGAUCAGCACAGAGAUGAACCAUUCGUACACCUGAGAGACUUCUCAGCCUGUGGCCACAAAACUACUGGUGUUUCAUACAGCAACAGGAAGAAGACUGUAAAAUAAUUGCACAUCCCCAUAUGAUGCACAUUUAUAUGGAUUUUCUCACACCUGCUAAAAAAG